CCUACGGGAGGCAGCAGUGAGGAAUAUUGGUCAAUGGGCGGGAGCCUGAACCAGCCAAGCCGCGUGAGGGAAUAAGGUACAGCGUAUCGUAAACCUCUUUUGUCAGGGAACAAAGGCGGGGACUAGUCCCCGGAUGAGGGUACCUGAAGAAAAAGCAUCGGCAAACUCCGUGCCAGCCGCCGCGGUAAUACGGAGGAUGCGAGAGUUAUCCGGAUUUAUUUGGUUUAAAGGGUGCGCAGGCGGCCUGUUAAGUCAGCGGUAAAAGCCCGGGGCUCAACCCCGGCGAGCCGUUGAAACUGGCGGGCUGGAGUUGGAGAGAAGUACGCGGAAUGCGCGGUGUAGCGGUGAAAUGCUUAGAUAUCGCGCAGAACCCCGAUUGCGAAGGCAGCGUACCGGCUCCAAACUGACGCUGAGGCACGAAAGCGUGGGUAUCGAACAGGAUUAGAUACCCUUGUAGUC
rnacentral:rRNA from 1 species